rnacentral:rRNA from 1 species
AUACGUAGGGUGCAAGCGUUAAUCGGAAUUACUGGGCGUAAAGCGUGCGCAGGCGGUUUUGUAAGACAGAGGUGAAAUCCCCGGGCUCAACCUGGGAACUGCCUUUGUGACUGCAAGGCUGGAGUGCGGCAGAGGGGGAUGGAAUUCCGCGUGUAGCAGUGAAAUGCGUAGAUAUGCGGAGGAACACCGAUGGCGAAGGCAAUCCCCUGGGCCUGCACUGACGCUCAUGCACGAAAGCGUGGGGAGCAAACAGGAUUAGAUACCCUGGUAGUCCACGCCCUAAACGAUGUCAACUGGUUGUUGGGGAUUUAUUUUCUCAGUAACGAAGCUAACGCGUGAAGUUGACCGCCUGGGGAGUACGGCCGCAAGGUUAAAACUCAAAUGAAUUGACGGGG